GUGCCAGCAGCCGCGGUAAUACGUAGGUCCCGAGCGUUGUCCGGAUUUAUUGGGCGUAAAGCGAGCGCAGGCGGUUAGAUAAGUCUGAAGUUAAAGGCUGUGGCUUAACCAUAGUACGCUUUGGAAACUGUUUAACUUGAGUGCAAGAGGGGAGAGUGGAAUUCCAUGUGUAGCGGUGAAAUGCGUAGAUAUAUGGAGGAACACCGGUGGCGAAAGCGGCUCUCUGGCUUGUAACUGACGCUGAGGCUCGAAAGCGUGGGGA
rnacentral:rRNA from 1 species